rnacentral:rRNA from 1 species
UUGAUGGAGAGUUUGAUCCUGGCUCAGGACGAACGCUGGCGGCGUGCUUAACACAUGCAAGUCGAACGAUGAACUUGGGGUUUCGGCCUUGGGGGAUUAGUGGCGAACGGGUGAGUAACACGUGAGUAACCUGCCCUGGACUCCGGGAUAACUGUUGGAAACGGCAUUGUAAUACGGGAUGUCUGCCUUGUGCCGCAUGGUGUGGGGUGGAAAGGUUUUUUCUGGUUCAGGAUGGGCUCGCGGCCUAUCAGCUUGUUGGUGGGGUGAUGGCCUACCAAGGCUUUGACGGGUAGCCGGCCUGAGAGGGUGACCGGCCACACUGGGACUGAGAUACGGCCCAGACUCCUGCGGGAGGCAGCAGUGGGGAAUAUUGCACAAUGGGCGCAAGCCUGAUGCAGCGACGCCGCGUGAGGGAUGACGGCCUUCGGGUUGUAAACCUCUUUCGGCAGGGAAGAAGCUUGUUGGUUUUCUGAUGAGUGACGGUACCUGUUAAAGAAGCGCCGGCUAACUACGUGCCAGCAGCCGCGGUGAUACGUAGGGCGCAAGCGUUGUCCGGAAUUAUUGGGCGUAAAGGGCUCGUAGGCGGCUGGUUGCGUCUGCUGUGAAAUCCUUCGGCUUAACUGGGGGCUUGCAGUGGGUACGGGCUGGCUAGAGUGCGGUAGGGGAGACUGGAAUUCCUGGUGUAGCGGUGGAAUGCGCAGAUAUCAGGAGGAACACCGAUGGCGAAGGCAGGUCUCUGGGCCGUUACUGACGCUGAGGAGCGAAAGCGUGGGGAGCGAACAGGAUUAGAUACCCUGGUAGUCCACGCUGUAAACGUUGGGCACUGGAUGUGGGUUCCUUUUUUGGGGUCUGUGUCGUAGCUAACGCGUUAAGUGCCCCGCCUGGGGAGUACGGCCGCAAGGCUAAAACUCAAAGGAAUUGACGGGGCCCCGCACAAGCGGCGGAGCAUGCGGAUUAAUUCGA